rnacentral:rRNA from 1 species
UAGGGAAUCUUCCACAAUGGACGCAAGUCUGAUGGAGCAACGCCGCGUGAGUGAAGAAGGUUUUCGGAUCGUAAAGCUCUGUUGUUGGUGAAGAAGGAUAGAGGUAGUAACUGGCCUUUAUUUGACGGUAAUCAACCAGAAAGUCACGGCUAACUACGUGCCAGCAGCCGCGGUAAUACGUAGGUGGCAAGCGUUGUCCGGAUUUAUUGGGCGUAAAGCGAGCGCAGGCGGAAAAAUAAGUCUGAAGUUAAAGGCAGUGGCUUAACCAUUGUUCGCUUUGGAAACUGUUAAACUUGAGUGCAGAAGGGGAGAGUGGAAUUCCAUGUGUAGCGGUGAAAUGCGUAGAUAUAUGGAGGAACACCGGUGGCGAAAGCGGCUCUCUGGUCUGCAACUGACGCUGAGGCUCGAAAGCAUGGGUAGCGAACAGG